rnacentral:lncRNA from 1 species
AUUGCGAGGGGUAAUGAAAGAACAUAUGCAAGGGGAGCAUUUGUAAAUAGUUCCGUUUAUUAUUAGCACACGAGUGUUCGAGUAGAGAUCCUUUUCAUUUUUCAAAACAAUUUGAUGGUCUUAAUUACUAGUAUAGUUUUAGCUUUGAUCACUAUAUCUUAGCUACUAUGUCCUUGUGUUCUAGUUAGUUUUCUGAUUAGUAAGGAGUAUA